ACGAACGCUGGCGGCGUGCUUAACACCUGCCAGUCGAACGGAAAGGCCCUGCUUUUGUGGGGUGCUCGAGUGGCGAACGGGUGAGUAACACAUGAGUAACCUGCCCUUGACUUUGGGAUAACUUCAGGAAACUGGGGCUAAUACCGGAUAGGAGCUCCUGCUGCAUGGUGGGGGUUGGAAAGUUUCGGCGGUUGGGGAUGGACUCGCGGCUUAUCAGCUUGUUGGUGGGGUAGUGGCUUACCAAGGCUUUGACGGGUAGCCGGCCUGAGAGGGUGACCGGCCAAAUUGGGACUGAGAUAAGGCCCAGACUCCUACGGGAGGCAGCAGUGGGGAAUAUUGCACAAUGGGCGGAAGCCUGAUGCAGCAACGCCGCGUGCGGGAUGACGGCCUUCGGGUUGUAAACCGCUUUCGCCUGUGACGAAGAGUGAGUGACGGUAAUGGGUAAAGAAGCACCGGCUAACUACGUG
rnacentral:rRNA from 1 species